GACGUAGGGCGCGAGCGUUGUCCGGAUUUAUUGGGCGUAAAGAGCUCGUAGGCGGCUUGUCGCGUCGUUCGUGAAAACCUGCAGCUCAACUGCAGGCUUGCGGUCGAUACGGGCAGGCUAGAGUUCGGUAGGGGAGACUGGAAUUCCUGGUGUAGCGGUGAAAUGCGCAGAUAUCAGGAGGAACACCGGUGGCGAAGGCGACAUCCUGGACCGGUAUUGACGCUGAGGCGCGAAAGCCAGGGGAGCAAACGGG
rnacentral:rRNA from 1 species